CCUACGGGAGGCAGCAGUAGGGAAUAUUGCACCAUGGGCGAAAGCCUGAUGCAGCAACGCCGCGUGAGUGAUGAAGGCCUUCGGGUCGUAAAGCACUUUUUAAGAGGAUGAGGAAGGACAGUACUCUUAGAAUAAGCCUCGGCUAACUACGUGCCAGCAGCCGCGGUAACACGUAGGAGGCAAGCGUUAUUCGGAUUUACUGGGCGUAAAGCGCGUGCAGGCGGUUUGGUAAGUUGGAUGUGAAAGCUCCUGGCCUAACUGGGAGAGGUCGUUCAAUACUACCAGACUAGAGGAUGGGAGAGGGAGGUGGAAUUCCGGGUGUAGUGGUGAAAUGCGUAGAUAUCCGGAGGAACACCAGUGGCGAAAGCGGCCUCCUGGCCCAUUUCUGACGCUCAGACGCGAAAGCUAGGGUAGCAAACGGGAUUAGAGACCCCGGUAGUCCUAGCUGUAAACGAUGUGAACUUGGCGUCGGCGGGUUUAAAUCCGUCGGUGCCGAAGCUAACGCGAUAAGUUCACCGCCUGGGGACUACGGCCGCAAGGUUAAAACUCAAAGGAAUUGACGGGACCCCGCACAAGCAGCGGAGCGUGUGGUUUAAUUCGAUGCUACACGAAGAACCUUACCAGGGUUUGACAUACAAGUGGUAGGGAUCCGAAAGGUGACCGACCCUUCGGGGAGCUAUGAG
rnacentral:rRNA from 1 species